UACGUAGGGUGCGAGCGUUGUCCGGAAUUAUUGGGCGUAAAGGGCUCGUAGGCGGUUUGUCACGUCAGGAGUGAAAACUCGGGGCUCAACCCCGAGCCUGCUUCUGAUACGGGCAGACUGGAGGUAUGCAGGGGAGAACGGAAUUCCUGGUGUAGCGGUGAAAUGCGCAGAUAUCAGGAGGAACACCGGUGGCGAAGGCGGUUCUCUGGGCAUUACCUGACGCUGAGGAGCGAAAGCGUGGGGAGCAAACAGG
rnacentral:rRNA from 1 species